rnacentral:rRNA from 1 species
ACGGGAGGCAGCAGUGGGGAAUAUUGGGCAAUGGGCGCAAGCCUGACCCAGCAACGCCGCGUGAGGGAAGAAGGUUUUCGGAUUGUAAACCUCUGUCGCAGAAGACGAAGGAAGUGACGGUAUUCUGUGAGGAAGCCCCGGCUAACUACGUGCCAGCAGCCGCGGUAAUACGUAGGGGGCGAGCGUUGUCCGGAAUUACUGGGCGUAAAGGGAGCGUAGGCGGUCUGAUAAGUUGGAUGUGAAAUACCCGGGCUUAACUUGGGGGGUGCAUCCAAUACUGUUGGACUAGAGUACAGGAGAGGAAAGCGGAAUUCCUAGUGUAGCGGUGAAAUGCAUAGAUAUUAGGAGGAACAUCGGUGGCGAAGGCGGCUUUCUGGACUGCAACUGACGCUGAGGCUCGAAAGCGUGGGGAGCAAACAGGAUUAGAUACCCUGGUA